CCUACGGGUGGCAGCAGUGAGGAAUAUUGGUCAAUGGGCGAGAGCCUGAACCAGCCAAGUCGCGUGAAGGAUGACGGACCUACGGGUUGUAAACUUCUUUUGUCAGGGAGCAAGUGAGGCCACGUGUGGGCUUAGCGAGAGCACCUGAAGAAAAAGCAGCGGCGAACUCCGUGCCAGCAGCCGCGGUAAUACGGGGGAUGAGAGCGUGAUCCGGAUGUAUUGGGUUUAAAGGAUGCGUAGGCGGAAUAUCAAGUCAGCGGUAAAACGUCGGGGCUCAACCCCGUAGUGCCGUUGAAACUGGUGUUCUUGAGUGGGCGAGAAGUAUGCGGAAUGCGUGGUGUAGCGGUGAAAUGCAUAGAUAUCACGCAGAACUCCGAUUGCGAAGGCAGCAUACCGGCGCCCAACUGACGCUGAGGCACGAAAGCGUGGGUAUCGAACAGGAUUAGAUACCCUUGUAGUC
rnacentral:rRNA from 1 species